CUUGAGAGUUUGAUCCUGGCUCAGAACGAACGCUGGCGGCAGGCUUAACACAUGCAAGUCGAGCGGGCAUAGCAAUAUGUCAGCGGCAGACGGGUGAGUAACGCGUGGGAACGUACCUUUUGGUUCGGAACAACACAGGGAAACUUGUGCUAAUACCGUAUGUGCCCUUCGGGGGAAAGAUUUAUCGCCAUUGGAGUAGCCCGCGUUGGAUUAGCUAGUUGGUAGGGUAAAGGCCUACCAAGGCUACGAUCCAUAGCUGGUCUGAGAGGAUGAUCAGCCACACUGGGACUGAGACACGGCCCAGACUCCUACGGGAGGCAGCAG
rnacentral:rRNA from 1 species